rnacentral:RNase_P_RNA from 1 species
GCAGGCAGAAAGUAGCCGCCCCUGUAUAAGGGGAGGAAAGUCCGGGCUCCAGAGGACAGCGUAAUGGGUAAUGCCCAUCUCCGCCAAAGUUUCAGGGGCGGAAGGAUUAUCCCGACGUUCCGACCGAGCGUAAGCGAUGCCGACGUUCACAAAAUACGUGAAGUCGGCAUUCCGACUGAGCGUAAGCGAACGUCGGAAGCGUCGGAAGCAUCGGGAGAGCCACAGAGACGAGCGCCCCACUGCCUUUGUCUUGCUACGCAAGGCAAAGGCAAAGCGUAAACGGGGCGGGUGAAACGCGGUAAUCUCUACGCGGAGCAAGGUAGAAUAGGAGACGAGCGCCAGUCCUGCGCGACAAAAGUCUCGGGUAGACUGCUAAAGUCCCGGUAUUAAUACCGGGAUUGAGAGAAAUGGCUACUAAAGAUACGGAUAUUCGCCCCGUUAGAAAUACUACAAUAAUUUCAUUAGUAUAUGAAAUUUCUAACGGGGUUCGUAUCAAGACAGGACCCGGCUUAUUCUGCCUGCUUUU